GCGGGGAGGUUGAACAUCCUGCAUAGUGCUGCCAGGAAAUCCCCAUUUUAUACUAAGAGGGGGCUGGCUGGUUGCAUAUGUAGGAUGUCCCAUCUCCCCGCCCGCUUC
rnacentral:pre_miRNA from 1 species